GAGGGUAUAGCUUAGUGGUAGAGUGCAUGCUUAGCAUGCACAAGAUCCUGGGUUCAAUCCCCAAUACUUCCG
rnacentral:tRNA from 1 species